GGGGGCGUAGCUCAGAUGGUAGAGCGCUCGCUUCGCGUGCGAGAGGUACGGGUAUGGAUACUCUACGUCUCCA